rnacentral:lncRNA from 1 species
AUAAAAGGGAGGUGAAGUGAUAGUAUGAGAUUUUAGAAUGAUUUUUCCAUGAACGUAUGUGAGCAGGUCACUCGUAUAAAGAACUAAACCCAUUAAGAAUCAAUAUAGUUUCUUUCUGUUAUUUUCUCUUUUUGUCUUAUUUUUAAAAAGAUAAGUGGAUAGAAAACCCAUUGGCCCCCUUUAUUUGGAUCGGAAGGUAAACAUUCUCUCAUCUUGGGAUAAAUUAUUGGGAAAAGGAUAGAUUAAAGAGUUAGAACAAUUUGAGAUGGGAACACUUUAGCCUAUUUUUAUGCCAGUAAUGGAUAUUCAUGUCAGUGCUUGAGAUUUUCCUCUGCCCAUUUGUAAGGGCUGGAAUUUAUCAAGUCAAGCAUUUCCAUGACACCAAUUUGAUAUGUCUCCGUCUGAUUUUCACAUAGUUGCUUCUAGCUGGAAGACCUUAAACUCCUUUUUGGAAGUUACCUUCAGUGGCUUUUCAUUAUGUCUGACCCAUGGUUGAUAUUGAUUGAGUGGAUGAGAGACUGCCAAGGAUGCUUUCUGAAAUCUGCUAAGGAAUUUGGGAAACAAAAACAACUAACAGUUGAAAGCAGAGUGUAAAAUUGUAGAGUAUAGAACAGAGGAAACUGGCUAUAGGAAAAUGGACAAUCUUGCCUCUACCAAAAACAGCUCUCAGAGGUGAGUGGUUUAAAAUUGACUUGGUGACUAGUGGGCCAGAUCUGCUUUUGUAAACUGGAUCUGCCACUUUCUUGCAGUGA